rnacentral:pre_miRNA from 1 species
AAUUAAAUUGCUGGAUCAUAUUGUAAUUUUAUUUUCAGUUUUCUGAGGAACCACCAUACUGUUUUUGACAGUGGCUGGAACAUUUUGCAUUUCUACCAGCAGU